AAACGACUCUCGGCAACGGAUAUCUCGGCUCUCGCAUCGAUGAAGAACGUAGCGAAAUGCGAUACUUGGUGUGAAUUGCAGAAUCCCGUGAACCAUCGAGUCUUUGAACGCAAGUUGCGCCCGAAGCCGCUAGGCCGAGGGCACGCCUGCCUGGGUGUCACGCAACGUCGCCGUCUCCCGGUCCCCCCGGGCGCGGCGGAUGAUGGCCUCCCGGGAGCCUCGCCUCCCGGCCGGCCGAAAAAGGGGCCCUACGCGACGGCCGCCACGAUCCACGGUGGUUGAGCGAGCAUUCGCCCGAGGCCAAGACGUGCGCGCGCCGUCCCGGCGGAGAGGGCCCGCCGGACGGGGCAGAGCCCCCCGCUCGCAGGCGACCCCAGGUCAGGCGGGGCCACCCGCUGAGUUUAAGCAUAUCAAUAAGCGGAGGAAAAGAAACUAACGAGGAUUCCCCUAGUAACGGCGAGCGAACCGGGAACAG
rnacentral:rRNA from 1 species